CAGACAAGACUUCUUUCUUUUGUUCUUUCCCAACCAUUGUCCAUUUUGUGUGAGUUUAUGUAUGCAGUGGACAGUGCCCCUGUUUGUGUGUUAUUCAAACAUGUAGCAGUACAAAUAUUUGUGUCUUUAAGGAGUCAGAUGUGAAGUGGAUGGCGGUGGUGGUAAAUUUCUGUGUGUUUCUCUGUUAACCCAGGAAAGUAUAAAUACCAUGAGUAACAUAUGUUUAUAGCACCUACAGAAGCGGCUCAAAUUAUUUCUGCAGCAGGUGAUACCCUGUCGGUCCCAGCCCCUGCGGUUCAGCCUGAGGAGUCUUUAAAAACUGAUCACCCUGAAAUUGGUGAAGGAAAACCCACACCUGUGCUUUCAGAAGAAGCAUCCUCAUCUUCUAUAAGGGAGCGACCACCUGAAGAAGUUGCAGCUC
rnacentral:sRNA from 1 species